CGUAAAGGGCGCGUAGGCGGAUGGAUAAGUCAGAUGUGAAAUUCCGAAACUCAAUUUCGGGACUGCAUUUGAAACUGUGUAUCUGGAGGAUUGACGGAGAAAACGGAAUUCCACGUGUAGCGGUGAAAUGCGUAGAUAUGUGGAAGAACACCUGUGGCGAAAGCGGUUUUCUAGUUUAUACCUGACGCUGAGGCGCGAGAGCAAGGGGAGCAAACAGGAUUAGAUACCCUGGUAGUCCUUGCCGUAAACGAUGUAUACUUGAUGUAGUGAGGCUCAACCCUGACUGUGUCGAAGCUAACGCGAUAAAGUAUACCGCUUGAGGAGUACGCUCGCAAGGGUGAAACGCAGAAGAAUUGACGGGGGCCCGCACAAGCAGUGGAGCAUGUGGUCUAAUUCGAUGCAACGCGAAGAACCUUACCCAGGCUCGAAAUGUAAUGGACGAUACCAGAGAUGGUAUUUUCCGAAAGGACCGUUAUAUAGGUGCUGCAUGGCUGUCGUCAGCUCGUGCCGUGAGGUGUUGGGUUAAGUCCCGCAACGAGCGCAACCCUUAUCAUUAGUUGCCAACACGAGAGGUGGGGACUCUAAUGAGACUGCCUAGGUUAANUAGGAGGAAGGUGAGGAUGACGUCAAGUCCGCAUGGCCUUUAUGUCUGGGGCUACACACGUGCUACAAUGGUCGGUACAGAAGGCAGCAAGACCGCAAGGUGGAGCAAAUCCGUAAAGCCGAUCACAGUUCAGAUUGUAGUCUGCAACUCGACUACAUGAAGUUGGAAUUGCUA
rnacentral:rRNA from 1 species